UGCUGCAAAAAAAUUUAGAAAUACACAAAAAAAGGCACAACACAGAUUACCCUCCUGCCUCCCAGCCCCAGGCACAGAAGGGUCGAUACCAAACUUGGUUGUGAGCACUCUCUUACUCCCAAGACACAGCUACUGUGUGGCGCACGUUGCGGGGAACCCGGCAACGGCACGACCCCGUGCCGGAGUGAUCCGGCAACGGGAUUUUUGCUUUCGAGGCUCCGGCAGCCCCCUGCUCACAGCCAAGGAUGGAAAGAGACUUCUGUGCACCUAGAGC
rnacentral:lncRNA from 1 species